rnacentral:tRNA from 1 species
GGAGAAAUACUCAAGUGGCCGAAGAGGCGCCCCUGCUAAGGGCGUAGGUCGGGUGACCGGCGCGAGGGUUCAAAUCCCUCUUUCUCCGCCA